CCCCAGAAGCAGUUCCUCUUCCUGCCUCUUCUAUGGAUCUGGGUUUAUUGUUUUUGUUUGUUUGUUUAUUUCUGUCGUUUUCUAGUCAAUUCUCGCGCUUUUGUAUCUUGGUUGUUUUUGACUGACAUUGCCUAGGAAAGCUUGUAAGGAGACUUUGACGUUUUGCAGUGCUGAUAGGAGCGUUCACCUGGAUCCAAUUAGGGAUGAAUUUAUUGGAAACUGGGCUUGCUGCAGUGGUGUGAUCUCUGCUCACUGCAACCUCCGCCUCCCCGGUUCAAGCGAUUCUCCUGUCUCAGCCUCCCGAGUAGCUGGGAUUACAGGUGCACAUCACCACGCCCGGCUAAUUUUUGCAUUUUUAGUAGAGACGAGGUUUCA
rnacentral:lncRNA from 1 species